rnacentral:lncRNA from 1 species
UUCGUGUUGGGUUCACGCAGUUAGGUCAGAAAAAGGUCGGGAUUCAUUUGGUUGUUGGAGCGGCUAGUUGUUCACGGGUCGGUGAUAUGCCCAAAUUACACUUCUCUUACGAGAGAGUAAGCGGUCGUUGUCAAAUAUAUAACCCAACUAGGUUGGGGUUGAAUCCCACAGGGAAUAUGGUGCUAAUUAAGUUGUAUGCAGAUUAGUUGACUUUUAAUUAUUUGUUUCCGUAAACUAAAUAGGGG